UACGGGGGGAGCAAGCGUUGUUCGGAUUUACUGGGCGGAAAGGGCGCGUAGGCGGCCUCCGCAAGUCGACUGUGAAAUCUCCGGGCUUAACCCGGAAAGGUCAGCCGAAACUGCGGGGCUAGAGUGCAGAAGGGGCAACUGGAAUUCUCGGUGUAGCGGUGAAAUGCGUAGAUAUCGAGAGGAACACCUGCGGCGAAGGCGGGUUGCUGGGCUGACACUGACGCUGAAGCGCGAAAGCUAGGGGAGCGAACGGG
rnacentral:rRNA from 1 species